AUACGGAGGGUGCGAGCGUUAAUCGGAAUUACUGGGCGUAAAGGGUACGUAGGCGGUUAUGUCAGUCAGAUGUGAAAGCCCCGGGCUUAACCUGGGAACUGCAUUUGAUACUGCAUAGCUAGAGUUUGGUAGAGGAGGGCGGAAUUCCCGGUGUAGCGGUGAAAUGCGUAGAGAUCGGGAGGAACACCAGUGGCGAAGGCGGCUCUCUGGACCAAAACUGACGCUGAGGUACGAAAGCGUGGGUAGCAAACAGGAUUAGAAACCCCGGUAGUCC
rnacentral:rRNA from 1 species